UCUAACUCAGUUUGUGUUGAGGGAUACUAAUUGUCAGAGUAAUAUUUUGGAGUUCGUUCAGUGGGUGUUGAGGAACGUAUUUUAAUUCCUCUCCUGGAGUUCAUGUUUAACGGUUGCUCCAUGACUUCACCCGCGCACAGCAAGCUGAAACUGGACUUCGUAGUGAGAAAAAUACGUUUUCCCUCUCCAAACUUGCGUAUGCACACUGGUGAAGACACGGGGCUUCAGUAGCUAAAGGAGUCUUAAUGAGUGUUUUUCAGUAUAACAGAGGAGAGUCGGGUUCAUCAGGUUGCUGGUAUGCCGCGGAGCUCUGGCGACGUGUAGACAGUAGUGUUUGGCGCUAGCAUGGCCAAGACACUGAUAAAGGUACAACGAGGGGCAAAGAAGAAAUAUGUGAAACUAGAGGAAGCUUGCUUCUCUGAUUUUCUUUGUGCUAGUAAGGUGUCUGUUUUGUAUAAAGCUAUGGAAUAGCAAGUAACAGUAUUUUGUAAAGAAGUACUGGUUGUCUUGCUACAGUCCAGGAGAAGUUUCUCAUCCCAGAGGACACAAUACUGAAUCUGUUUUGUCAUCUACACUGACGAUGAACUUUCAUUGGUUGAAUCCUCCAGGAACUCUGGUAACUGCUCAGACAUGACAGAAUAUGUGACUCUUGAUCUGUCUGUUCUGCAACAAGGGGAUGAAGUACCAUCUUCUCCAAGUCUGACAGAUACUAUGUCUGUCUCAACAAGUCUUAGCAGUGACACUAGUGACUCAGGAUGUAAAGGGAGUCAACCUUUGGACAGUAAACAUGCAAGAAAUACUGUGGAGAAAAUUCUGACCUCAAAGCCAGCAGGAAUGACUGUGAUUGAAGAGUAUGAACAAACUGGGAGUUUGAAAGAUUCCACCAGGAGUCAUGUUAGUAAAGCAACAAAGGAGUUCCAUGCCCUUGGGAUUGUGUCACGGUUUCCAAGUUUGAAGGACCCUUACUCAAACAAGGGAUAUGAACACUUUUGCGACAGUCAGAGCAACAAAGGCUUUCUUGAGUGGCACAGGUGACCAGCAAACAGGAGAUGACUGUAUGGAAGCCAUAUCUCUUCUCCACCACACAACAGACCAUGAUUUAGUCUUCCAGAAGAUGAGAGAAACCUUCCAGUACCGUCAGCAAAUUCUGCACAAUCCACAGCACUCAGCUGAUUCUUGGACACUAAAGGACUGAUUUUGCAAGACGUCUCCUUUAUGUUUGGAGAAGAGGCCGCAUCAAGGUUCCUGCAAAAAUGGAACACCAUUUUGAAGGACAAAGUCAUCCAGGAGGCCAAGAACCUAAAGGAGACCUCACUUCUAAAGCGACAUCUGAAAUCUGCUCUGAAUGAAGGAUCUGACACCACUGAUGAUUCAGUCAUGUCAAAGCCUUGAGGAUCAUCUGAUGACCACUGGAAGGGGGCUCUUAGCUGUAUCUUCUUGCCACAGGAAUUUCAAGAGCGUAGGUUUUCACCUUUUAUGUUGUCUUGGACAAAAAGCUUGUACCAUGUCAGUCAUGUACGUCCUUGGGGGCUUUUGAUGAGCUAUUUAAGUCUCAUUUUGUCUUCAGUGUGAAGUAUGAUGAUUCUCUAUCCAGACUGUACACAUUUUUGCAGACAACUGUGUACAAUAUUGACAUAGGCAGAACUGAAGAAACUCCAAGAGUGAAAGAGCUGAGAGCAAGGCUUUUGAACAAGCUGUAACUAGUUUAUUCAGCCAAAAUGUUAAGUUGUUUCUCUGCACUUCAUCCUUUGGUACAGUUGUGCUUUUGUUCAGGCACCUAAAACUAAUUCAUGGAAUGUAUUCAGGGAAAAGUCUAAGACUAAAAUGUGGUCAGACAGGUUGUUGUUUGCAGUUCUCUAGUUAUUCUGGGUUUAGGAGGCAUCUUAUUAAGAUACAUGCAUUAAUUGAUAACAUGUGUGUGCCUUAUGAGACCCUUUCCAACUAUGACACAGACAAAUGCAACAAUUCUCAGUCUAUAAAUGAACUACCCUCAACUUCAUCUUAGUGCCAAAAUGCUGUAACAGGCACUCCUAUGUCCAGUCACAAGAAAGAUAUGUGUGCUUCCAUUGUAGCCAAGCUUUUGGGAAGCGGUGUACAAAAUACUGUAGUUCUUUCUACUAUUGAGAAUUUACAGGAAUUUGUGGAAGAUCUGCAAUCUGAUAUUCAGGAUCAAAUAUUGAACUUAAUCCCAGCCUCAAUCAUUUUGCACAAUAAUCAAGUUGUUUUUGUUUUGAUUGAGCAUGAAACUUUUUUUCAUGACCAUUUCCAUGCUUUUCAAGUGAGUGAACACAUGCCUAGGAAGA